rnacentral:rRNA from 1 species
UACGUAGGAGGCGAGCGUUGUCCGGAAUUACUGGGCGUAAAGGGCUCGUAGGCGGCCAACUAAGUCAGACGUGAAAUCCCUAGGCUCAACCUAGGAACUGCGUCUGAUACUGGAUGGCUUGAAUCCGGGAGAGGGAUGCAGAAUUCCAGGUGUAGCGGUGAAAUGCGUAGAUAUCUGGAGGAACACCGGUGGCGAAGGCGGCAUCCUGGACCGGCAUUGACGCUGAGGCGCGAAAGCCAGGGGAGCAAACGGG